rnacentral:rRNA from 1 species
AGAGUUUGAUCCUGGCUCAGGAUGAACGCUGGCGGCGUGCCUAACACAUGCAAGUCGAGCGAUCUUCUUCGGAAGAGAGCGGCGGACGGGUGAGUAACGCGUGGGUAACCUGCCCUGUACACACGGAUAACAUACCGAAAGGUAUGCUAAUACGAGAUAAUAUGCUUUUAUCGCAUGGUAGAAGUAUCAAAGCUUUUGCGGUACAGGAUGGACCCGCGUCUGAUUAGCUAGUUGGUAAGGUAACGGCUUACCAAGGCGACGAUCAGUAGCCGACCUGAGAGGGUGAUCGGCCACAUUGGAACUGAGACACGGUCCAAACUCCUACGGGAGGCAGCAGUGGGGAAUAUUGCACAAUGGGCGAAAGCCUGAUGCAGCAACGCCGCGUGAGCGAUGAAGGCCUUCGGGUCGUAAAGCUCUGUCCUCAAGGAAGAUAAUGACGGUACUUGAGGAGGAAGCCCCGGCUAACUACGUGCCAGCAGCCGCGGUAAUACGUAGGGGGCUAGCGUUAUCCGGAAUUACUGGGCGUAAAGGGUGCGUAGGUGGUUUCUUAAGUCAGAGGUGAAAGGCUACGGCUCAACCGUAGUAAGCCUUUGAAACUGGGAAACUUGAGUGCAGGAGAGGAGAGUGGAAUUCCUAGUGUAGCGGUGAAAUGCGUAGAUAUUAGGAGGAACACCAGUUGCGAAGGCGGCUCUCUGGACUGUAACUGACACUGAGGCACGAAAGCGUGGGGAGCAAACAGGAUUAGAUACCCUGGUAGUCCACGCCGUAAACGAUGAGUACUAGCUGUCGGAGGUUACCCCCUUCGGUGGCGCAGCUAACGCAUUAAGUACUCCGCCUGGGAAGUACG